rnacentral:lncRNA from 1 species
UACGUAGCGGUCGAUAGAGCUUCCGACCCAGGUUAUUCGGUUUAGUUUCUACCCUUACUGUCCUGUUGAUAUAGCUUAGAUAGUUUAUAUGGUUCAGUUUUUGGUAUUUCAGUUAAUUAUCAUAUUUUGAUUUGGCUUUAUGAAUGUAAUAAAAAAAGGAUUCGUGGUUUUCGUAAUUAAAAGCUUUUCUACCCCUCGUUGUAGCGUUUUUAAAGAAUAAAGGUUUUCGUGUAGGAAACAGUUUUCAAAAGAAUUUUCUAUAGAUUUAUGUUUAAAUAUUGAAUGUAUAACUGUGAUGUGAAUGGUGAAUGAAUGAUUGCAUAGUCAUU